AGAGAUGGAAAAAGCCGCUGGUCGCUCUCAAAGCGGUGUCAGUUUUGGACAAAAAGGGUUAUGUUUUCCUGUGGAACAGAAGCUUGUAGUUCACCUCCCUUGGGAGGGAAAGACCUGGUUUCCUACAGCCAAAGAGGAGCCGAGGGGCCGGGCUCGGUGGCUCAUGCCUGUAAUCCCAGCACAUUGGGAGGCCGAGGUAGGCGGAUCAGCUGAGUUCAGGAGCUCGAGAUCAUGGCGGAAACCCUGUCUCUACUACAAACAGGAAAAUUAGCUGGGCGCGGUGGCGCUCGCCUGUAAUCCCAGCUACUUGGGAGGCUGAGGCAAGAGAAUCGCUUGAACCCGGGAGGCAGAGGUUGCAGUGAUUCGAGAUUGCGCCACUGCACUGCAGCCUGGGCGAUAGAGCGAUAUUCCGUCUCAAAACAAAACAUUAUAGAGGAGCCUAGGAGACAUUGGCAAUGCGGACAAUUUCAGGGCCAUCCAAAUCUUAGGCCUCCGUAAAGAUCUGGCUUGAAGCUCUCUCCUUCGUCCCUUCCUCUUCUGCAACCACCUGCCUCCACCUAUCUCCCGACUCGUUUUCUUCACCACCUCUUGUCACCUUCACUUCCACUUUCUCCCAUUCCCGUUGAUUCAGUUCCACGGCUUCCUCCUACCUAAAUGUCCUCCAGCAGCUCAGCUCACUACAGUUUCUGCAGCUCCACUUUCUAGGUUGGCGUUCUCAAGCCUGAAUGAUAAUCGUCUGAGGGAGACCUUUCAAUUGUGAAGAUUCCCAUCUUUCUCCCUAUCCGGUGAUUAUCGGUCCACUAUGGAGCUGUCUCAGGAACGGAACUGCAGCGUCCCUGAGACGAAGCCACUGCUGAGUUUCCUGAUCAUGAUGAUCCACUGAAGAGUUUGCUAGAGCAGUGACUGUGACAGCAUACACUUAGGUUUUUUUUUCUUUUUUCUUUCUUUUCUUUUCUUUCUUACUCUUUCUUUGUUUCUUUCUUUCGUUCGUUCUUUCUUUCUCUCUCUCUCUCCUUUUUUUUUUUUUUGAAACUGAUGUUUAUUUCCCGUCAAUGUUAUUUCCAUGUUGUCUAAGAGCCUGUGCAAGAAUAGCUUAAGACCAUUCAGUGGUUGCUUC
rnacentral:lncRNA from 1 species